rnacentral:rRNA from 1 species
AGGACGAACGCUGGCGGCGUGCCUAAUACAUGCAAGUCGAACGAGGUCCAUCCAGUGGAAACACCGGAGAAGGCCUAGUGGCGAACGGGUGAGUACCACGUGAGCAACCUGUCCCGAAGACCGGGAUAACACCGGGAAACCGAUGCUAAUACCGAAUACCCCCACCGGGUCACAUGGCCUGAUGAGGAAAUGGGUUUCUGCUUCGGGAGGGGCUCGCGGCCUAUCAGCUUGUUGGCAGGGUAAUGGCCUACCAAGGCAACGACGGGUAGCUGGUCUGAGAGGACGACCAGCCACACUGGGACUGAGACACGGCCCAGACUCCUACGGGAGGCAGC